CAUGCAAGUCGAGGGGAAACGACAUCGAAAGCUUGCUUUUGAUGGGCGUCGACCGGCGCACGGGUGAGUAACGCGUAUCCAACCUGCCCACCACUUGGGGAUAACCUUGCGAAAGUAAGACUAAUACCCAAUGACGUCUCUAGAAGACAUCUGAAAGAGAUUAAAGAUUUAUCGGUGAUGGAUGGGGAUGCGUCUGAUUAGCUUGUUGGCGGGGUAACGGCCCACCAAGGCGACGAUCAGUAGGGGUUCUGAGAGGAAGGUCCCCCACAUUGGAACUGAGACACGGUCCAAACUCCUACGGGAGGCAGCAGUGAGGAAUAUUGGUCAAUGGACGAGAGUCUGAACCAGCCAAGUAGCGUGCAGGAAGACGGCCCUAUGGGUUGUAAACUGCUUUUAUAAGGGAAUAAAGUGAGAGUCGUGACUCUUUUUGCAUGUACCUUAUGAAUAAGGACCGGCUAAUUCCGUGCCAGCAGCCGCGGUAAUACGGAAGGUCCGGGCGUUAUCCGGAUUUAUUGGGUUUAAAGGGAGCGUAGGCCGGAGAUUAAGCGUGUUGUGAAAUGUAGAUGCUCAACAUCUGAACUGCAGCGCGAACUAGUUUCCUUGAGUACGCACAAAGUGGGCGGAAUUCGUGGUGUAGCGGUGAAAUGCUUAGAUAUCACGAAGAACUCCGAUUGCGAAGGCAGCUCACUGGAGCGCAACUGACGCUGAAGCUCGAAAGUGCGGGUAUCGAACAGGAUUAGAUACCCUGGUAGUCCGCACGGUAAACGAUGGAUGCCCGCUGUUGGUCUGAAUAGGUCAGCGGCCAAGCGAAAGCAUUAAGCAUCCCACCUGGGGAGUACGCCGGCAACGGUGAAACUCAAA
rnacentral:rRNA from 1 species